GACGAACGCUGGCGGCGUGCCUAACACAUGCAAGUCGAACGAAGCAUUUGGAGCUGAUCUCUUCGGAGUGACGCGCCUUAUGACUUAGUGGCGGACGGGUGAGUAACACGUGAGCAACCUGCCUCUCAGAGUGGAAUAACAGUUGGAAACGGCUGCUAAUACCGCAUAACGUCAUUUUGCCGCAUGACAGAGUGACCAAAGAUUUAUCGCUGAGAGAUGGGCUCGCGUCCGAUUAGGUAGAUGGUGGGGUAACGGCCUACCAUGCCGACGAUCGGUAGCCGGACUGAGAGGUUGAUCGGCCACAUUGGGACUGAGACACGGCCCAGACUCCUACGGGAGGCAGCAGUGGGGGAUAGUUGCACAAUGGGCGCAAGCCUGAUGCAGCAACGCCGCGUGCGGGAAGACGGCCUCGGUUGUAAACCGCCUGUCCUUAGGGAAGGAAACAAAUAGAACGGUAACCCGAAGAAACGGAAAGGACCCAACGGACGUAACGUAACGUCGGA
rnacentral:rRNA from 1 species